AUGGGACCUGCCUACGGCCCAUCUCCGGCCUUGGCCCUGUCGUCUGUGAAUGUGGGUGACGGUCCACCUCGCCGCCCAGGCCUGAGGGUUAGCAGAGGCCCGGAGAUGAGGAAGGAGUGUGUUACGGGCCCUGGGGAAGUGUGUGUGUGUGUGUGUGUGUGUGUAUGUGUGUGCACCCUGGGGAAGUGUGUGUGUGUACUGUGUUACAUGUGUCCUGUGUAUGCAUGUACACCCCAGGGAAGUGUGUGUGUGUAUACUAUGUAUGCGUGUGUACCCUGGGGAAGUGUGUGUGUGUACUGUGUUACAUGUGUCUUCUGUAUGCAUGUACACCCCAGGGAAGUGUGUGUGUGUGUUACAUGUAUGCAUGUACAUCCCGGGGAAGUGUUUGUGUGGUGUGUGUGUACUGUGUUACAUGUGUCCUGUGUAUGCAUGUGCACCCUGGGGAAGUGUGUGCGUGUGUACUGUUACAUGUGUCCUGUGUUACAUGUGUCCUGUGUAUGCAUGUACAUCCUGGCGAAGUGUGUGUGUGUACUGUGUUACAUGUGUCCUGUGUAUGCAUGUGCACCCCAGGGAAGUGUGUGUGUAUUGUGUAUGCAUGUGCACCCUGGGGAAGUGUGUAUGUGUGUACUAUUACAUGUGUCCUGUGUUACAUGUGUCCUGUGUAUGCAUGUACAUCCUGGGGAAGUGUGUGUGUGUGUCCUGUGUUACAUGUGUCCUGUGUAUGCAUGUACAUCCUGGGGAAGUGUGUGUGUGUGUCCUGUGUUACAUGUGUCCUGUGUAUGCAUGUACACCCCAGGGAAGUGCAUGUGUGUAUACUAUGUAUGCGUGUGUACCCUGGGGAGGUGUGUGUGUAUACUAUGUUACAUGUGUCCUCUGUAUGCAUGUACACCCCAGGGAAGUGUGUGUGUGUGUUACAUGUAUGCAUGUACAUCCCGGGGAAGUGUUUGUGUGGUGUGUGUGUACUGUGUUACAUGUGUCCUGUGUAUGCAUGUGCACCCUGGGGAAGUGUGUGUGUGUGUCCUGUGUAUGCAUGUGCACUGCGGGGAAGUGUGUGUGUGUCCUGUGUAUGCAUGUGCACCCUGGGGAAGUGUGUGCAUGUGUACGUUACAUGUGUCCUGUGUUGCAUGUGUCCUGUGUAUGCAUGUGCACCCCAGGGAAGUGUGUGUGUGUGUAUACUGUGUAUGCACGUUCAGCAGUCUUUGUUUCAGUCUUGACAUGUGCCUGAACGUGAACAUGUGUCUGAAUGUGAACCCAUGUGUAAGCAUGUGUUUCUGA
rnacentral:lncRNA from 1 species